GGUAGCUCAGUGGUAGAGUGCUUGCCUUGCAUGCAUGAGGCCCUGGGUUCGAUUCCUCAGUAUCA
rnacentral:tRNA from 1 species